rnacentral:rRNA from 1 species
UACGAACGGUCCAAACGUUAUUCGGAAUCACUGGGCUUAAAGCGUCCGUAGGCGGCUCGGAAAGUAGGGUGUGAAAUCCCACGGCUCAACCGUGGAAUUGCGCUCUAAACUAUCGAGCUAGAGGGAGAUAGAGGUGAGCGGAACUGAUGGUGGAGCGGUGAAAUGCGUUGAUAUCAGGAAGAACACCCGUGGCUAAGGCGGCUCUCUAGUACGGUACUGACGCUGAGACGCGAAAGCGUGGGGAGCGAACAGG